AGUGUGUGAACUUUGUGCAAACAGUGUGUAUGUGUAACACAUACACACUGUUUUAGCUAGCUCAGCUAGCUCUUCAGUUUACUGAGUGUAUUUUAUUAGCAGUCAUUAGCAAAGUAAGUGGACUUUUAGCCUCUGUGUAGCAAAACCAGUUCAUGCUCUAGGUUUUAGUUCACUGUUUUUCGACGUGGAAACUCUGAGGAUUUAUAAGUCAACGGACUACGAGGGAGAAACCACACAGCUGUUCCUCACCUGGGACCAGAGACUGGGAACACCCGCAGGACUCACAACUCAGAACGAAGGGAGGCCGUAACAGUUAGACUGACCAUUAUGACUACUGGGACAUAUCCCAGUGGGUGGAUCAGGUGGACCAGUCUCUUAACCAGCCCUCUCUGUGAGCCUGUCAUCUGGGGAGAACCAGUGAAAGUGGGGCCGCUGGAUGAAUCAACCUCAGCCUGGUCAGCAGGUUAGUCCUGACAUCUGCCACCGGCUCAGUGUGGAUAAUCACUGAUCCCUGCUCUGCCUCUCUCAGCCCUCCAGCUUUGUUAGGCUGCACCAAAGAAAAACACACGACAGGCUCUCAUGGGAUGAGCACAUCAGCAGGUGUGACGGAUCCUUCACCGAUGAAAAAAAUUAGAUUAAUGAUUGUUCAAAUCAAAAGUAAUUAAGAGAAGGUCGUGUAUUUCUGUGGUCUUCAUUAGAACUGCAGUGAUGCCCCCCCCCCCCCGGUACCAACAGAGCUCAUCAUGGGGCCGCUCCCUCUCCCAGGGCCCAGGGGUAAUUAGUUACAAUGGCUGCAGGCAGCUUUUAGGAACUGCACACUGCAUUUCCCACAGGCUUCUGUGUGUCCUAUAUGUGCCAUGAUGCAGGAGUGGACACACAGCAGAACUCCAGACUGAGACUGGGUCAGAUGCUUCCCUUUGUACACCUGUAGUUUUCUGUCCUGUAACCUAACCCUGCUGCUCUCAGAUCAGUGUCCUCUUGAGGGCAGCGUAUAUUAGACAGUAUGGUGAAUACUGUUGGUGUCUACCUGAUGAAUGUACUGUUGUCUUCACCCAUGGCUGCAUCACAUAUUUAAUUAAGUGAAAAGAAUAAAUACAAGCCAAACUGCUGCAUACAGUGAUUGUUGGUACAGUGUUAAUUGUCUGGGUUCACCACCCUCUCACACUGACGCUGUCCACUGAUCAGAAUAUUGAUCAUAGCUGCUUUAACAUCA